CUCAAGGAACCACUGCGGGCGGAGCUGCAGCGCAUGGAAGAAGCCCACAUCAUUGAAAGGAUCAGCGAACCAACAGAUUGGGAAAAGAGUUGCUGCUGGCCGACAUGUUAUCAAGGGCUCCCAAAAAACCAAGGGACAUCGGACCCUCCCAAGACGACGUAGAGGUUCAUGCAGUGGGUGUGGUCACGGACAUGGUACGAGUUCCAGCACAUUA
rnacentral:lncRNA from 1 species